UCUAUCCCACCUGAGGAGUAAUGCGGUUGGUUGCUUUCAUUUGAUUAUUACGGGUUUUCAUCAUGAACAUUUAGUGUGCUUCUUAGAAAAGAGCACUUAAGAUCCCCAGGACAUCCUUGAGCCAGUGCUGGAUUUGUCCAAGACAGAAGAGGGACUUCCACCAAGGUUCUUCUCCAUCCUUAUCUACUGCUGCUAGCCUGCUACACAUCUUUCUUGGUUCACUGGCGAGUUGGAUCACUUCAGUUGUUGUGACACACCUACAGGCUACAGUCACUCACCACGGGAUUAUGGCCAGAUCUGAGAGUUUCAGUCUACCUUUAUGAGAAGUAUCUGGAUGUCCUUUCAAGAAAAAUGAUAAGGACUAUACGGUCAACAAGGUCCCUUGUUUGCUAUGUUAUUGGCUGCUACCCUUAAAUCUCCAUUUUCACUUCCUUACAACGGCCCUCUUGAUUUGAGGGCAAUCCUUUGCUGCUUAUCAUGGACCUCAUCCAUUGGCGAAAAGGCGAAAACCGACAACAGAAUGCUGUAAUUCAAGAUUGAUAAAUUGUGUAGUUGUUAGUUAACUUACA